AUUGAACGCUGGCGGCAGGCCUAACACAUGCAAGUCGAACGGUAACAGGAAGAAGCUUGCUUCUUUGCUGACGAGUGGCGGACGGGUGAGUAAUGUCUGGGAAACUGCCUGAUGGAGGGGGAUAACUACUGGAAACGGUAGCUAAUACCGCAUAACGUCGCAAGACCAAAGAGGGGGACCUUCGGGCCUCUUGCCAUCGGAUGUGCCCAGAUGGGAUUAGCUAGUAGGUGGGGUAACGGCUUACCUAGGCAACGAUCCCUAAACGGUCUGAGAGGUGGACCGGCCACGCUGGAAGUGAGAGACGGUCCAGACUCUGAGGGGGGGAAGCAGUCGGGGAUCUUCCGCAAUGGGGGAAAGCCUGACGGAGCAACGCCGCGUGAGUGAUGAAGGUCUUCGGAUCGUAAAACUCUGUUAUUAGGGAAGACGAAACGUGUAAGUAACGAUGCACGUCUCGCCGGGACCUAAGCAGAAAGACACGGCUAACUAUGUG
rnacentral:rRNA from 1 species